rnacentral:rRNA from 1 species
UGGGGAAUAUUGGACAAUGGGCGCAAGCCUGAUCCAGCCAUGCCGCGUGGAUGAUGAAGGCCCUAGGGUUGUAAAGUCCUUUUAACGGGGAAGAUAAUGACGGUACCCGCAGAAGAAGCCCCGGCUAACUUCGUGCCAGCAGCCGCGGUAAUACGAAGGGGGCUAGCGUUGCUCGGAAUCACUGGGCGUAAAGCGCACGUAGGCGGCUUUCUAAGUCAGGGGUGAAAUCCUGGAGCUCAACUCCAGAACUGCCUUUGAUACUGGAGAGCUUGAGUCCGGAAGAGGUGAGUGGAACUCCGAGUGUAGAGGUGAAAUUCGUAGAUAUUCGGAAGAACACCAGUGGCGAAGGCGGCUCACUGGUCCGGUACUGACGCUGAGGUGCGAAAGCGUGGGGAGCAAAC